UACGAAGGGGGGCUAGCGUUGCUCGGAAUUACUGGGCGUAAAGCGCACGUAGGCGGCUCUUUAAGUCGGAGGUGAAAUCCUGGAGCUCAACUCCAGAACUGCCCUCGAUACUGAAGAGCUCGAGUCCGGGAGAGGUGAGUGGAACUGCGAGUGUAGAGGUGAAAUUCGUAGAUAUUCGCAAGAACACCAGUGGCGAAGGCGGCUCACUGGCCCGGUACUGACGCUGAGGUGCGAAAGCGUGGGGAGCAAACAGG
rnacentral:rRNA from 1 species